AAUUUAGAUUAGAAAACAAUGCUAUUAGAAUGUAGAAUAAGUACUCGUAUAAUUUGUUUUUUCUUUUAAGGUAUACUCUGAUAAUUUGAAUGCGUUUCUUAAAUCAUCAAAACAUUAUAUUAAUCAGGUUCAUAACGAUUUUUCAUUGGAGAAAUUACGAAAAGUUCCAGAAAUUGAAUACCUCAAGCAAUUUACUUUCCCUAAUGUGAUUGGCAAGAUAAUUGAUAAACUGAAAAUAAAAAAUAAAUUUAUAAAUCAUUAAUAUUUCAGAUACGUCGAAAUAGAAAUUUUAAGAAUCCAAUUUACAAAUAUUUUAAAAAUUUUAUAUGUUUUAACCCGAUCAUGAUAAUUUCUUGGAAACAAUAGUUUUCAUUUGAUUUCUUAAGCUAUUUAAAAAAAAUAUACAACAUUUUAAAAUUCAGUUUUACUUGAUAAUGAAAUUUUUAAUAAAUUGAAGUUUAUAGGCAACCAUUUGAGCGUCUGGAAAUGACUAAAGAAGAUUUUUUGAAGAUGUUUGAGUACAACGAGUUCAAAGUGAGAAUACUGAAAGAAAAAGUUCAGACUCCAACUACUACAGUCUACAGAUGUGGGCCGUUGAUUGAUUUGUUUCGUGGUCCUCAUUAGACACACGGCAUUCGCGACUCGAAUGGGAUUCCCUGGUGGACCAAUGCUAACGCCGAUGAUGCAUCCACGCUUCAGAUGAUCACCUCAAGCUAACGGGCCUAAUCUAUCACUGCAUUUUGUGCUUUGGGCCCAGCCCUGACUUGGUCUCAAGUGAAAAAUUUACUGACUCAAAUCAAUAAUACAAUUACAAUAAUAAUAUAAUUAUAUGUAAUAUAAUUACUAUGCAAGAGCCGCUGGUUUCAAUUUUCAAAAAACCGAAAAACGACUGUCAUGUGCAAAGUCAAAAUAUCAACGCUACUGAUCCUCAGUUAACACGAAGUUAGCAAAAGCCUUUUCUUUUUUUUUGUUUUUAAUUAAUUAAUUAUCGAAUUAAAUAUUGUUACACUAAACAGCAUCUGGAA